UUAAUAUUAAUAGAAGACUUUAAAAACAGUCUUCCAGAGCGAGUUUCAACUUACUUAAAUGAACAUAAGGUCUGUGAUAUUUUUAAGGCUGCUGUCUUAGUUGACGAAUAUGUGCUUACACAUAAGAAUGUCUUUGUAGAUCGUCCUUUUUGGAAUGUUUGUAAGCCUUUUGAGAACCUGAUUCCUACUGGGAAGGAUAGGCAUAGUGAAGUCGUUGAGGGGGGCAGAAAUGCUGGUCCCUCAGAGCUUGAUGCUGAGGAUGAGUUGAAGGUAAAAGACAUCAUGUGCUUUUAUUGUAAAAAAAAAAAAAGACAUAUUGUGGCAGGCUGUCCUGUGUUGAAAAAGCGAAGUGUGAAGCCUUUAGCUUUAGUAAACAAACUUGAUAAAAAUUUAAAUUAACCUGUGUUGUCUAAAGACAUGUCUAGUGACCUGACUGUAUUUACUCCCUUUAUUAUGGAUGGUGUUGUCUCGUUGCCUGGUAACAAACUUAAAGUGCCGGUAAAGAUUCUGCGGGACACUGCUGCCUCCCAGUCUCUUAUUUUGGAAGGAGUUUUGCCAUUCGGUAAUGAGUCUGCUGUGGGUUCUGACGUUCCUGUGUUGGGUUUUUGUAUGGAAGACGUUGAUGUGCCUCUGCAUAGGGUCUGUGUGGAGUCUGACCUUGUGUCAGGAGAGGUGUCUGUCGGGGUGCGUCCUGGUUUCCCUAUAAAAGGGAUUGCCUUUUUGAUGGGGAAUGAUUUGGCCGGUGGAAAGGUGUUGGUUAAAACUGAAGUGACGCCGAUUCCUGUUAGGCAGGUUCCUGAUGAGCUUGCUCACAAGUUUCCCAAGGUUUUUACUGCAUGUGCUGUUACUCGAUCUGUGUAAACAGGAUGAGGAGGGAAUUGAUUUCAGUGAAAGUUUUCUUGUUGAUCCAGAUAAUGGUCACUCAUUUUCUCCAGUGGGGGCUGAGAGUAAUGCCACAAGGGCAGAGACCUUUCCUGAGGCUGAGCGUUUAUCCUUAUCUCGUAUAACAGUUGAUUGAUGCGCAGAAAAAUUGUUAUGUUGUCUCCUUUGUUUGAAGAUGCAAUAGCUGGAGAGAAAGUUGUACUUCUGUCAACAGGUUAUUUUGUGAGAUGGUUUGCUGAUGAGUAAAUGGAUGCCAUCCAGUGCAUCUGCUGCAGAUGACUGGAGGGCUGUGACCCAAAUUGUAGCUCCAUGUGCAUAUCGAGCAGAGAUUUUGAAUCUGGCUCGUGAUAGUCCUCGUAUAAUCGUAUUUUGCGCCAUUUCUUUUGGCCUGGGUUAAUGAGGGAUGUUUCACGUUACUGUAAGUCUUGUCAUCUAUGUCAGGAAGUUAGGAAACCAGACCAUCCCUCCUGCUCCAUUAUAUCAGAUUCCGGUGGUAUGUGAGCCAUUUGAACGGGUUCUGGUUGACUGUGUGGGCCCCCUGCCUCGUACAAAAACUGGUAAUAAGUUUUUGUUGACUGUGAUUUGUGCAUCCACUCGAUUACCAGAAGUGUUCCCUUUAUGGAAGAUCUCAACUCCAGUGGUUUUGAAGGCUUUGACAAAGUUUUUUUUCAUUGUUUGGUUUGCCGAAGGUUGUACAAACCGACCAGGGUUCAAACUUUAUGUCAUGGGUGUUUGCUCAGGUGCUGAAGCAGUUAAAUAUUAAACACUGUCAUUCUAGUGCAUACCAUCCUGAGAGUCAGGGUGCACUUGAACGUUUUCACCAGACAUUAAAAACCAUGUUGUGUACUUAUUGCCUGGAGUUCGAGAAAGAUUGGGAUGAAGAAGUUCACAUGCAGAUGUUUGCUGUAAGGGAGGUGGUUCAGGAGUCUUUGGGGUUUAGUCCAUCGGAGUUAGUAUUUGCCCAUACUGUGCGUGGGCCAUUGAAGUUACUUAAAGUGGCUGUAUGAGGGGACAGAACAAAACUUGUUGGACUAUGUGAGUAACUUCAGAUUUAAAUUACGCAGAGCUUGUGAGAUAGCUGGGGAUAAUCUUGAAGCAGGGCAGGAUGACGGUGUGGUUUGAUAAACGUGCUCAAAAUAGAGAAUUUCUGCCUGGGGAUAAGGUUUGUGUUGCCGGUUCCUGGGUCUAGUUUGCAGGCUCGCUACAGCGGGCCUUAUGUGGUUCAGAAGAAGGUUGAUGAUAGACUACCUGAUAGCCACUCCUGAUCGCUGCCGUAGAUCUCGUCUAUGUCAUGUUAAUAUGCUAAAGUCUUACUGUGACAGGCAACAGAUGUAGCCGGACACGGGGUCCAGUUCUGGUGCAGGGGAGGGUGAGGGUGAGUAAAUAAAUCACUGUUUGCUGACGUUCCAUCUCAAACUCACUUGCUGAAGUAUGACACUGAUGUGGUGGAUAUACAGCCCAUUAAACAACAUCCGUAUUGAGUAAAUCCAGACAAACGUCGCCGUCUUAAGGAACAAGUGGACUAUAUGCUACAGCAUGAGCCCAGCUGUAGUGCGUGGAGCUCUCCGUGUUUGCUUGCUGAUAAAGCUAAUGGUGAAGAUUGUUUCUGUACUGAUUUUUAGAAAAGUGAAUGGGGUGACAAAGCCUGAUUGUUAUCCUCUUCCUCGAAUGGAGGAUUGUGUGGAUCACAUUGGGGGUGCCAAGUUUGUUACAAAACUAGACUGACUAAAAGGAUACUAGCAAGUACCAUUGACUGAGUGGGCAAAGGAGAUUUCACAUUCGUCAUGCCCGAUGAUUUUCUUUGCCUUUGGAAUGUGAAACGCGCCGGCUACCUUUCAGCGGUUAAUGAAUGUUGUUCUAUCUGUUGUUCCAUUCUGUGAAGCGUAUCUUGAUCUGGUGGUCUGUUCUGACUCAUCAGGAGCAUCUGCAUACAGUGUUUCGUCGUCUGAAAGAGGCAGGUUUAACUGUGAACCUGUUAAAGUGUGAGUUUGGACAAGCAACAGUGACUUAUCUUGGAAAAGUGGUGGGGGAGGUCAAGUUCGACCUCUUAAGGCGAAGGUGGAGUGUAUCGAGGCUUUCACUAUUCCAACCACCCGAACUGAGCUCCGCCGUUAUUUAGCGAUGGUUGGUUAUUAUCGGGGGUUUUGUAAAAAUUUCUCUGCUAUAGCCUCACCUUUAACAGACCUAAGCCCAAAAGUGGAGUUUGUAUGGUCCGAUACUUGUCAGUUGGCAUUUAAUCAGACCAAAAGCUUGCUGGUAAAAGCCCCUGUUCUUGCAGCGCCUCGGUUUGAUCAUCCUUUUAAGUUGGCUGUAGAUGCAAGUGACACUGGCGUGGGCGCUGUUCUUUUACUUGUCCUGGCUUUAGAACAUUUUGAUGUUUAUGUUGGCUCAUCUAUUGAUGUGAUGGUUUAUACGGACCAUAAUCCGCUGGUUUUUCUGCAGAAAAUGCGGAAUAAGAACAGACGAUUAAUGAGUUGGAGUUUGCGGUUGCAGACCUUCAAUGUGGAAGUCAGAUACAUCCGUGGCAGGGAUAAUGUUCUGGCUGAUGCACAUACUGGGUUGCUGCUUCCAUGUUUGUUUAUGCCAGCUCUCCUGGAAACCCCGUUAUUAACGUCACAACACUAUGAACUGUGGGUAAUUCCGUCAGGCAAAGUCUGCAGAGCCCACAAAGGGCUCAAAAGGUCUGCGAGAGAGAGCCCUCAUGUGCUUGACAAUUUGACAGUGGGACAGCCCAUGCCCUCAUGGACUUACCGGGAAUGUACCUCUGAGUCCAUGAGUGUGGAGAUUGGGAUUCAGCCAUAGACUACAACAUGAGAUGAUUAGAGAUCAGCCAAGUGCAACAGUUUUUUUUUUUUGUCCAAGUCAGACAGAAGGGAGAUUUAGAUUUGCAUAUAUAUGUUUAAAACAGAAAAUCAAGAAGUAAGCUCUAUUAAAAUGUUGCAGUGAGACAGAAGGAGAGCCGUGUUUUGAAAAGGCAUCAGAACAACUUGAUGGACCAUGAAGGCGCAUUGCUCAGCCGCCAGCCCCGGACACACAUGGAUGGCAGUCACACAGUUCACUUUCACUGAGGCAAAACCGAUAGUCUCCUUUUGUUUUCAUGAAUCCAGUGCUGCUUGGCCUUUCCUCCCAUCUUGUGUUCCUGUCAGUUUCAAGCUCAACCUGACUGAGCUGGUCUGAUGCUCAGGAAGCCGUUUGUACAAGUUGCCCGCCUCAUACAGGAAGUGCUUUGUUUCUCUCUGCAAAUAUUUCAUCACCCUGCCUGCAGGCUCCAACAGCCCCCUGCUAUUCUGAAAAGGACACACAUCUGCCUUAUAUGAUGUUGCAGUAUAUCUUUCACACACUACAGCUGUUUUGUAACCACUCCUUUUAAUCCACCUUAUUUUGCAGCACUACCAUGUUUUUCUGUUUCACUGCAUUCAUACAUAAAACUGCUCUUACGCUGACAUACUUGCAGGUACUGACAUAUUUGACUUAAUUGCAUGAAUAUAUGCUGUAAGAUACUGUGAUUUUGAAGAUUCAAAUCCAAAUUAGUCACUCACAGUUAACAGCUGUUCAAGUUUUUUACUUGUAGAUUAAUCUUGGAAAUUAAAUUCUGUUCUGCUCUGCUAUUACCCCUCUCCUCUGGCUCCUUUUUUUUCUGUUACAAUGGAUCUUAUGUGCAGUUGUACCUUUACAUCUUAGCCUAAUCAUAUUACACAUAAAAGAAGAGCCCAUAAAAUAGCCUACAUAAUAGAGAUUUGAAUUACAAUAAGAACACUGUGAAGAUAAUUAGGCUAAUUUACUCAAUGCGAUGCCAAAAAGCCGCCCUGGCUUUGUCGUCCGCCAUGAUGUUAGAUUUAGCCGUUAACUUGUCUUUACAUUCAUAAUUUCCUGACACUACCAAUGUGCAUUCCUCUGGAGAAAUAUGGAGCAUGCGCCAUUUCGAAAAAACUCUACCUGCACGGCCAAACAUGCCCCUUUUAUGCGAACGCGCACCAACUUCAAUUAAGUUAACAACGGGUUAACACGGGCUCAACUAACAAACAUCUUAUUCACCUUUGUAGUACUGUUUAACUCUAGUGUAGGCGGUCAGAGUUUGCCUGAUAACCCCGAGUUAGGUCUAACUCUGAAUAGGUCGAUCACCCUUCGAAGUAGCCUACAGGCAAACUCAGAGUUGACAAACUCUGACUGCCUACAUUGGUAUUAAACGGCAGGCCUACUACAAAGGUGGAUAAGAUGUUGGUUAGUGGAGUCGAUGUGUCUUGAGGGGUGUGUUCAGCCGUGUAGACAGAGGUUUUCACAACGGCGCGUGCUCCGUAUUUUCCACAGUAGAAUGCACAUUGAUUGUGUCAGGAUAUGAAGAGUGUAAAGACACAUUUAGGCCAAAUCUAACACCGUGGUGGCCAACAAACCCAGGGAGGCUUUUUGGCAUCGCAUUGAGUAAAUUUGUAGCCUAAUUAUCUUCACAGUGUACUUAGUGUAUGUAUUUUAUGGGCUCUUCUUUUAAGUGUAAUAUGAUUAAGAUGUAAAGGUAGAACUGCACAUAAGGUCCAUUGUAGAAAGAAAAGGAGCCAGCGGACAGGGUUAAUAAUCCGAGACAAAAUAAUUUCCAAGAUUAAUCUACAAGUAAAAAACUUUAAUAUUCUCUGACAUUAUAGUCACACAUUUAUGAGAGAAACUUCACUUUGUAAGGCUGCAACAUCACACACAUGUCUGCCAUGUAGGCUAUUAUGCAUGCAUUGGAAAGUUAUAUUAAACUUAAAUACUGUGUUUAGCUCAAAAUCACUAUCAUGCAACUUAGAGACUUUGCCUUGGAUUCGGCGUAUUCAGAAGAAAACACCAGAAUGAUUUUUUUUUACGACAUUAAUUUCAGGGAAUUUUCUUCUUGUAAGUUUCACACUUUCAUCUAGGAUUUUUUUUCUUGGUUAUUAACCCCGACCCUGGCUCCCUAUUUUUUGGAUAUGUAAAAUAGUCUAUAUAAAUAUGUGAAAACAAACAGGCGAAUUCAACUGUCCCGUUAAUUAAGAUUCCUCUCUAAAAUCACAGAGGCUGCAGGGCUCGCUGUCUGAAUGUAAUGCUGUUGUGUUCAGAACUGCAACCGCAGUGGAACAAAUCAGGAUGAAAUCUAAAUAUAUUUUAUGAAGUGGUGUGUAAUAAUUACCUACUUCUCAUCAUUAACGCUGACUACACAUGUGGUGUGUAGUGUGCGUGCAGGGUAACCUCGAGUCAACCAUCAACACAACCUGCUCGGAGCAGUUUAGAGAUGCAGCGUAAAUUGCCAUGGCAACAGACCUCGGGUAACAACUAUCCCCCUUUUGUAGUACGGGUUAACCGGGAAGUUACACCCGACGUCACGAAGUUACUCCUCAAGUUACCUCGCUUCGUAGUAGCCUACAGGCCACUGGCCAGCUCUGCACUCCUGGAUUGUUGUGUCCUCUGAAUCUACCACACGCCAGCUUUCUUGUCAGUCUAGUUUCUAGUCUUGUGUUUUGCUUGCCUGCCCGAUUAACCACUUUAUUUUCUCUGCUUUAAGGAAAUUGAUCAGUCUCCUGGAUCUCCUGCCUGCCCAGCUUGCCAACACUCCCGUCUGGAUUUCAUCCCCCCUCACCAGCCAGUUCCCUCUCACUUUCUCCCACUGUCAGCGGAACCCGGACUCAGCCCGUAUUCCUUUUUCCACCACCUAUUCUGCCCUUCAGUUGAAUGUUCUCUCUGGUAUUAAUAAACCUCUGUUGUCUUACCACCGGCUCUGGUCUGCAUCUGGGUACUGUUCAAACCUCUGACACCCUCUGAAGAUAGAUUCCCACGGCACUGUACCUUUAAAUGCUAUGGGGGGGGGCAAAUUUCCUUUGAAUGAAGAACAUGACUGCCUUGUGUUGAGCAAUUGCUGAUAUAAGGAAGUAAAAUAUGUGACCUUUUAGCAACCUUUUCUCCACCCCACAAAAUAAAAAUAAAAAGAGUUAUA